rnacentral:rRNA from 1 species
CCUACGGGUCGCAGCAGUAGGGAAUCUUCGGCAAUGGACGAAAGUCUGACGGAGCAACGCCGCGUGAGUGAUGAAGGUUUUCGGAUCGUAAAGCUCUGUUGUUAGGGAAGAACAAGUGCCGUUCAAAUAGGGCGGCACCUUGACGGUACCUAACCAGAAAGCCACGGCUAACUACGUGCCAGCAGCCGCGGUAAUACGUAGGUGGCAAGCGUUGUCCGGAAUUAUUGGGCGUAAAGGGCUCGCAGGCGGUUUCUUAAGUCUGAUGUGAAAGCCCACGGCUCAACCGUGGAGGGUCAUUGGAAACUGGGGGACUUGAGUGCAGAAGAGGAGAGCGGAAUUCCACGUGUAGCGGUGAAAUGCGUAGAGAUGUGGAGGAACACCAGUGGCGAAGGCGGCUCUCUGGUCUGUAACUGACGCUGAGGCGCGAAAGCGUGGGGAGCAAACAGGAUUAGAUACCCUUGUAGUC